rnacentral:rRNA from 1 species
UACGUAGGGUCGAGCGUUGUCCGGAAUUAUUGGUGCGUAAAGGGCUCGUAGGCGGUUUGUCGCGUCGGGAGUGAAAACACGGGGCUUAACCCCGUGCCUGGCUUCCGAUACGGGCAGACUAGAGGUAUGCAGGGGAGAACGGAAUUCCUGGGUGUAGCGGUGGAAAUGCGCAGAUAUCAGGAGGAACACCAAUAGCGAAGGCAGCUCGCUGGGACGUUACUGGACACUGAGGCGCGAAAGCGUGGGGAGCGAACAGG